rnacentral:rRNA from 1 species
AGUGAACGCUGGCGGCAGGCCUAACACAUGCAAGUCGAACGGCAGCACAGUAAGAGCUCGCUCUUACGGGUGGCGAGUGGCGGACGGGUGAGGAGUACAUCGGAAUCUACUUUUUCGUGGGGGAUAACGUAGGGAAACUGACGCUAAUACCGCAUACGACCUACGGGUGAAAGCAGGGGAUCUUCGGACCUUGCGCGACUGAAUGAGCCGAUGUCGGACUAGCUAGUUGGCGGGGUAAAGGCCCACCAAGGCGACGAUCCGUAGCUGAUCUGAGAGGAUGAUCGGCCACACUGGAACUGAGACACGGUCCAGACUCCUACGGGAGGCAGCAGUGGGGAAUAUUGGCCAAUGGGCGCAAGCCUGAUCCAGCCAUACCGCGUGGGUGAAGAAGGCCUUCGGGUUGUAAAGCCCUUUUAUUGGGAAAGAAAAGAAGCAGGUUAAAACCCCGAUGUUCUGACGGUACCCAAAGAAUAAGCACCGGCUAACUACGUG